CAGUAGCCACGGGAAUACGUAGGGUGCAAGCGUUAAUCGGAUUUACUGGGCGUAAAGCGUGCGUAGGCGGCUUCUUAAGUCGGAUGUGAAAUCCCUGAGCUUAACUUAGGAAUUGCAUUCGAUACUGGGAAGCUAGAGUAUGGGAGAGGAUGGUAGAAUUCCAGGUGUAGCGGUGAAAUGCGUAGAGAUCUGGAGGAAUACCGAUGGCGAAGGCAGCCAUCUGGCCUAAUACUGACGCUGAGGUACGAAAGCAUGGGGAGCAAACAGGAUUAGAUACCCCCGUAGUCCCUGUCUCUUAUAA
rnacentral:rRNA from 1 species